rfam:Aedes aegypti strain Liverpool supercont1.136 genomic scaffold, whole genome shotgun sequence.
GGCUCGGUAGCUUAGUUGGUAAAAGCGCUCGUCUAGCAUACAAGAGUCCUGGGUUCAAAUCCCAGCCGAGCAC